CUGUAACAUCUGAUGACACUGAAAAGAUGACGACUGAACAAAUCCAGAGUCGGGGGACAGCAGGCAGCCAGAACCAGACCAAUCCAGUUCGUGAUAACCUGAACAGGAACACAAAGGAUUUUGGUAGUGAACUGUCUGCUGAUAAAUCUGUAACAUCUGAUGACACUGAAAAG